AUAUUAUAUAACUAUAUGAUGUAACAUAAUUAUAUAUUAUAGUAAUCUUUAUAUGAAUGUUGUAUUACUAGCCUAUCAUGUUAUAUAAAUAUAGGAUUCAUAAUAUUACAUAUAUGGAACAUAAUAUAUAUAAUGUAUAAAUAUAUCAUAAUAUAUAUAAUAUAACAUGCCACAUAGUAUUUCUUUUUUUUUUUUUUAAAGAUUUUAUUUAUUUAUUUGACAGAGAGAGACGCAGUGAGAGAGGGAACACAAGCAGGGGGAGUGGGAGAAGGAGAAGCAGGCUUCCCACAGAGCAGGGAGUCCGAUGUGGGGCUCGAUCCCAGGACCCUGGGAUCCAGACCUGAGCCGAAGGCAGAUGCUUAACGACUGAGCCACCCAGGCGCCCCGCCACAUAGUAUUUCUAUAACACGGCGUGUUAUAGGACAUAAAUAAUUAUGUAGCUAUAAUUGCAAUUAUCAUCCCAGGGCUCCCAGCAACCUCCUCACUGGGGAGAUUCCUUUUCAUCCAGGAAACGUGGAGUGGCCUUCUGUUGGUUCACUGAGACCGCACCCCCAUCUCAGAGUCAGUGGGGCACUCUUUGGUAGGACACUCUCUUCCUUCCUUUCUGUACUGAAGUCAGCAUCGUGCUGAGGAUGGGUGGGGUUCCCAUCCUCCUUCGACAGGUAGAGGAGGCGUGGGGCAGUGGCCAGGGAAACCCUAGCUCCACCUUCCACAGCCCGAGCACGUUGCUGGACUGCUGGGCUUCCACUUCUUCAUCCCUUCAGAGAGCUCCUCUCAGGGCUUACCUUCUAGAGCCAUUGCCAAGAGCGGUACCGUCCUACUCCCUGCAGAGCUUUGGCGCCCGGGCAUGACUCAGAUCAGCCCUGCUGCUCUUAUUAUCGAGUGGCACUUUGGGCCCGGCAUACAGUAGAGAGCAAAAAUGGGACCCCCAAAGAGCUGACAGUCUGGUGAUGGAAACAGAUAUUCAUCACAUAAUCACGCUAAUGAACGUGUAAUUAUAAACUCAGAUAAAAGCCAGGGAAUGGGAUCAGCAAUACGUUUUUUUUUUCUUUCCCUACUUGACUUUGAGGCCAGCUGGCUCGGGAAGGCUCUGAGAGAUGUCCGCUUGGUUUUGGGAAUGGCUGUUAGUGCAGGGGGCCUGUGCUCUGCACCCUCUUUCCUACCCAGGGUCUGUGUGGGCUUCUCAGAGGUGGGGGAAGGGAAUAGAGACCCACCAACGACUAGUAACUGGAACCACAUCGUACUGUGGGAUAAUUUGCCGAAACAUUAACUUGCUUCUCUUCAUCUUAUAUUUUUUGCAGUAAAGGAAAAUAGAAGCUUCUUGAAAUCUACAAUCCUGUCCUUUCUAAAUACAUUUUAAAACUUUUCAAACAUAAUUUCAAAGUUACAGAGAAGUUGCAAGAAUCAAAAUAAUGCAAAGAAGACCCACAUACUCUUCACUCACGUUCCCCUGUUGCUAACGUUUUACCCUACGUCCAUGUGUCUUUUUGAAAUUCAGCAAACGUUUAUUUUUAAAUGUGGAAUGCAUCAGAUAUGCAAAAGUGUGUGUAAGAACCCAACAUCCCAUUUAAAGAAUCAGAAUAAAAAACACUCGCUUUCUCAGAACCCUGGCUGAGGAAAAGAACUCGGAUCUUGGAAGCUGCUUUCAUGUUCUUAGCUGAGCUCAUCCCCACCUCCAGCUCCAAGAUUACCAACCACAACCUGGAUUUUGACCUGAAGAAGAUUCAAGCUCAUGGCCAGAGGGACAGAUGAGACCCACAGACAUAUUUGUUUAGCCUUCACGAUGUUUACAAGAGAGAAACACAGCGAGGGAAGGAACACAAGUAGGGGGAAUGUGAGAGGGAGAAGCAGGCUUCCCACCGAGCAGGGAGCCCGAUGCGGGGCUCGAUCCCAGGACCCUGGGAUCAUGACCUGAGCCGAAGGCAGACGCUUAACGACUGAGCCACCCAGGUGCCCCAUCCAUUAGCCAUUUUUAAACAAACAAUCCAGCAGCAUUUAGUACAUUCUCAGUGUUGUUCCAAGACGUUUUAUGACCCCAGAGGAAACCCUGUCUGCACCAAACAGCUACUCUCCAUUUCCCCUAGCCGCUCAUCUACUUUCUGUCUCUGUGGAUUGACCAAUUCCGGGUGUUUCGUAUAACUGAAAACAGGUGUUCAGACAAAGACCUGUACAUGAAUGUUCCCAGCAGCACCAUUCACAGGAGCCUAAAGAUCUCUGCGGGGAGUCAGAGGAGGGGACGGUGCAGAAUCUACUCUAAACAUUAUUCACUGACUCCUCAAGGAAAAACAAGGGGCACUCAAGUGUGAGAUGUGAAAAGCCAAAGAUAAGAUAAGGAGGGCUUAGGACUUUGCGUGUCUUCCUUCUCAGUGUUAUGAAGGCAAAUUUCAUGCUCUACUUCCUUUACCACUUAGAUAAAAAUUCAGAUUUCUCAUGGCUCUGUGUGAUCUGGCUUCGUACCUUUCUUCCUGUGCUUUGUUCUGACCAGCCUGCUUUGCCCCCAGCGGCACUGGCCUCAUGCUCAGAUCUUAGAACUAGAACAUACCAACUCUCCCCUGCCUCAGGGCCUUUGCAUCUGUUGAAAUUCCUGCCUGAGGGGCAUUCCCUUUACAUUCCUCAGGGCUGGAUACUUUGCAGUCUUUAAUUUUCGUAAACACACUUCCUUCCAAGCCUUCCCUGACUCCCUUCCUAAAGGGAAGACCUCCCCUCCACACACCCAGUAUGUUAUAUUCUCCACAUACCCAUUAUGUUAUAUUGUAUCACCCUGCUUAUAGCCAGCCGAACACUCAUCGCAAUCUAUAAAUAUUUAUUUACUUGGUUCUGUCCCUCUUUCCAAGCAGAAUAUAAGCUCCAUGAAGGUGGGGAUCUUGGCUACUUUUUAAAAAUAGUAAUAACCCUUCCAAAAAAAAAAAAAAAAAAAAAAAGCCCGGUACAUUGUAGGUGCUCAAUAAAUGUUUGUUAAAUAGCUGGAUAAAUAAGACAAUUCCAGAAAUGGGAGGGGCUUGCUCAAGACAGGGAGCCUGCCCCAGGCUUCUGUCCUGACUCCCAGACCAGGGUCUAACUGCCGUAGGUACGAUGCCCGCCAAGAGCAAGGAAAGCCCUCAAGCGGACUGACUCGGUGUCAUGAAGUCCGUUCAUGUUGUUGUCGACCUCCAGAACUUUGUCUUCCCAAAGCAAAACUCUCUGUGAAGCAGUCACCCCCCAUUCCCCUCUCCCUCUGGCCCCGGGGUAGCUACUUUUUGUCUCUAUGAAUCUGACAACUCUAGGAACUUCAUGUAAGUGGUUUCGUCCAGUAUUUGUACUUUCGGGUCCUGGCUUAUUUCACUGAUCAUGAUCUACUCGAGGCUCAUCCGUGUUGUAGCAGGGGAAAUGUAUAAUUUCCUUCCUUUUUUAAGGCUGUCUAAUAUCCCCUUGUCUGCCCAAAUUCGUAUGUUGAAACCCUCACCUCCAAUGUGACUGUAUUUGAAGAAACCAGCCCUGCCGGUAGAAAUCUUAGAUUUCUAGCCUCUAGUUCUGUUGCUUCAGCCACUCAGCUUUGAUAUUCUAUGAUAGCAGUCUGAGCUGAUUAAUGCCCAUGUAUACAGCACAUUGUUUAUCCGUUCAUCCGCUGACGGAUCACUUCUACCUCCAGUGCUGCUGUGAACACGGGUGUGCAAAUAUCUGAUGCAAAUAUGCACCUUUGAGUCCCUUGCUUUCGAUUCUUUCAGGCUCAUGCCCAGACGCAGCAGUUGGAGCAUAUGGUAAUGCUAGUUUAUGAGUUGGAAUCUGACGGUCCGAAUUCUUGUUGGGUCAGUGAGGACUCACAGUGAGAGAAGCUCAGCGGGGGAUGGCUCUGGGGAGUGAUGUCGCAAUAAACUAUAUCUCAUUUCCUGAAGGGUCAGCAAAAGACCAACUGUGGGGCUGAAAACAGAGCAGGGAGAGCGUGCUUUGCCACAGCUUUGCCCCCUUUCUCAAACUGCAGAACCGGAACGGGGGUCUUUGGAACAGGGCAAAGGGACCCCCGUGUGUGUGGUUCCUGCUCCGCUUUGGGGAGCCUCCUGGGGUUGGGCAAACGGCUUGAGGCUGGAAAUGAGGGUCUUGGUGUGGAGGCGGGCAGGAUGGGACUGGGGUUCUGCAAGGAAAUCACCAUUACAGUCCUCAGUGAGGUUGUGUUGGACGUUAGAUUUUGGGCGACAACAGUGGGUGCCUUGCUUCUUCUCCGUCUUCCUUGGGCUGGAGACAAUCAUUGGCCGCCACCUAGCUGCAAAAACUGGCAGCCAGCAGGAGCCAUGCCGGCUCCCAGCAUUGAUUCUCUCUUCUGGUUAGCCAGCGCUUUAUACCGAACCAGCCCAAACUUAGGGACAUAAAACAGCCAUCAUUGUAGUAUGCCCGUGGAUUGUAAGGUUGGGAAUUUGGGCAGAGCGCAGUGGGGAGGGUAGUAUCUGCUCCACAGCAUCCCGGCCUCCGCUGGGAAGACCUGCAUGGCAGAGAGAGACGUGGGUGGCAGGGUCCAGGCAUCGAGCCGAAUCAUCCUCUACCUGGUCCCAGACCCUGCGCUCGUGCUGCUUUCCCUCACCCUUUAACAAGGAAACUUUUAAUUGUAGAAUGGUUUUAGAUUUACAAAAACAUUGCAAAGAGAAUACAGAGACGCCCAUUUAUCCUCUGACCUGUUACCACUUCCCCCUAUUGUCAAUAUCCUAGGGUACAUUUGUCACAAUUAAUGAACCAAACUCGAUACAUUGCUGCUGACUAGAGUCCAUGCUGUGUUCAGAUGUCCUUAGUUUUUACUUCAUGUCCUUUCUUCUGUUACAGGAUACAUGACACUGAUACAACAUGCCUCCUCUUGACUGCAACAGUUUCCAGACUCCUUGUUCUGAAUGACCUUGAUGGUUCGAAUGACCUUGAUGGUUUGAAUGACUUUGAUGGUUUUGAGGAGUGCUGCUCAGGUGUCAGGGCUGGGGUUCAUGUUCACCUGAAGGUGUGGAAGAGCGGUGUUGGAAUUAGAAGAGUUAUGUUGUUUUUGUGUGUUUGUGUCCAAGAGCUGUGAGUCCCCACGCAGGAGGGUAGCAAGCACCCCAGUUCCUGGCUUUAAGCUCCGAGGGGGAGAGCUUCCACUGGACCGCUCAGAGCAUUCAGUAUGGGGUCAGGGCAGGCUCAGAGAGGAAUGGGGUCCGGCUCAAGUUUGAACCAUCUCGAGGGCUCAAGGUUGUGGCUCACAGCUCUGCAGACAUUUGGGACAGAAUGAAGGAAUCAGGUGUCUUUUGUGCUUUCCACCAGCGCCACCUGGAGGUGGAAGGUGAACCCUGCAGAGAGGCUGGAAAUGGGCUGAUGGACCCCAAAGACAGAGCAGGCGGUCCUUCUGUGAGCACCUGGAGGAGAUGCGUUUACAGGCACCGGGGGGUAUGCAGGGUUCCCAGAAUGACUGAACAAGAAAGCUGCACGGUGAGGGAGGAUGCUGAGUGUUGGAAGCAGUCAGAAGCAAGAAAACAAAAGCUGCAGGCAUCCCAGCUCCUCGGCGGAUGCUCUGAGUCAUCUUCGUGUUUCUCCUUAAAGACCGGCUUCCUCCACAUGGUGAGACAGAUGGCCACCAAGAGCUCCCAAGUUUUAAAGAGAAUGACUUCCCCGACAAGAGGAACAGAGAGGGAAGGUCAUGUGAAGACACAGCGAGAGGGUGGCUUCUGCAAGCCAGGAAGAGGGCUCUCACCAGAAGCUGAGUUGGCCAGCGCCCCAUCCUGGACUUCCAGCCUCCAGAACUAAGGAAAUAAAUAAAUGUCUAUUGUUUAAAUCACCCAAUCUACAGGGUGUUACUGUGGCGGCUGGAGGGGUCUAAUAGUGUGUGUGUGUGUGUGUGUGUCUGAGAGAGAGAGAGAGAGAGAGAGAGAGAGAGAGAGAAAGGGACUCUUUGUAGAGCAGAGGCCCCUGUAGGUUCAUCAUGUGUGCCUUUCAUGGAAAUCCAGACUGAGUCUUCUCUCCCUUCCUCCAGGCUUACUGACCCCUCACUCUCCUCUGCUUUCUGUCCUCACUCCUCACAGUGCACCCCCCGCCCCCAAGCACACACUGAGAGCAGAGAGACUGACACACCCAAAGGAGGUUGAAGAGUCUGGGACAGGCCAGGGCCCCUGGAUUCAGGAGGCCUCUCUGCUCUUGGACCCCUUCACCCUCUUCCCAACCCAGUCGCCUUGACUGUACUUUACAGACUGACUCAGGCUAUAGGGUGAAGGACAAGCUGCAAAGUUCCUGGGAAACAAGCCCCAUGCAGGUUGCAGAGCUGGCUGGGUCUCUUCACAAAGAGAUGUUGGUUGGGCCCCCUCCCUUAGGCAAAACUACCUCUGCGGUAGGAUGGAUGGCUCCAGAAGUUCAGCACGUCAGGACAGAGAGGACCCCAGAAACCAUCCUAUCCUGCUUGUUUCCCACUUUUUUUUUUAGAUUUUUUAUUUAUUUAUUUGACAGAGAGAGACCCAGUAAGAGAGGGAACACAAGCAGGGGGAGUGGGAGAGGGAGAAGCAGGCUUCCCGCCGAGCAGGGAGCCCAAUGCGGGGCUUGAUUCCAGGACCCCAGGAUCAUGACCUGAGCCGAAGGCAGACGCUCAAUGACUGAGCCACCCAGGCGCCCCAUUUCCCACUUUUACAGAUCUGAAAACUGAGGAAGGGGCAAAAAAAGUCUCCCAUUGCAUCCUAGAACACAUAUUUCCUGGCUUACUUCAGUUCUUAUUCUGGUGAUUCAUUCGGAUUUCAAAAAGCGUUGGUCUAGGACAGAUGUUGGCGAUAGGCCCAUCACUUGUGUUUGUAAAUAAAGUUUUAUUAGAACACAGACCCACCUAUUUGUUUACAUAACAGAUAUGGCUGCCUUCAUGGUUCAAGAGCAGAGAUGAUGCAACAUAGAGAGCCUAUGGUCCACAAAGGCUGAAAAUACUUUUCAGAAAAAGUUUGUGGACCUCCAGUCUAGGGCUUGGCAGGCCUGGGUUUUCUUUCUUUCUUUCUUUCUUUCUUUCUUUCUUUCUUUCUUUCUUUCUUUCUUUCUUUCUUUCUUUCUUUCUUUCUUCUUUCUUUCCUUUCUUCUUUCUUCUUUCUUUUCUUUCCUUUUCUUUCUUUCCUUUCUUUCUUUCCUUUCCUUCUUUCCUUUCCUUCUUUCCUUUCCUUCCUUCCUUCCU